GGACCUGCAUGAGCCAAGAACCAAUCACACGCUGUAUCCAGGAGGAACGAAGCUGCUCAGAUCAAGAUGAGGUGUUGCUGAGGAAGGUCUGCUCAGGACCUUUUGGCAGCGCCAGCAGUCGACCCUGGACGUUGGCAGCAAAACAAACUCAACACUUCAUGAGUUUUCAGCACUGCCAAGAACCCAGGGAGCAGAAACAGCAAGCGGUGGGUUACAUCCCAGAACAGAAAGACCGAAUGAACUCUUGGCAAAGUGUGUCCUUAAAGAUUUAGUCUGUUUUGGUUUCAUUUAAAAAUUCCAAAUGAUGAUCUCAUUUAUUAAGGGGUGAAAAAACCCUAUUAAGGAACUCCAUAAUCUAAAAGCUGUUUGUGACACCUUUGGUAGCUACAACUGCUCUUUUCUUUUACUUCAGAGGAAUUGUGGUCUGUUAUCCUUUAUACAAUGAUUUUAUUUGAAAUGCAUUGGUUGGUUUUUGAACAUGAACAGCCCGUUUAAAGUUAUUCUACAACAUCCUAAUCAGAUUAAAUUCCAGACUCCAAAAUCUCCAUUUGCCACUCAGAGAUGGACUUACUAGUGCGCUUUGGAUAAUUGCCCUGUUUCCUGACCCAAACGCCCUUGAGCUGAAGGGCACACCAUAAACUGAUGGCUGUAAAAUAAACACAUACCCUCAUGACUUACAGUUGUAAUUGCCACAAAAGCUGCUUCUAAAAAGUUUUUAACUCAGACAGGAAAAAUACAAAUGCACACCACACUUUUCAGAAUUUUAUUGGUAAAAAAAAAAAAAAAAUAUCUUUCAUUUUACAAUUAUGCACCACUUUUGCUUGGUCAAUCACAUAGAACCCAAUAAAUACAAUGAUGAUCGUGGUUAUAAUGUAAA